GCCUCGGUGGUGCAUUGGUAGCACGCGCACCCUGUAUGAAUGAAACACGGGUUUAACUCCCGUCUGAGGUA